ensembl:lncRNA
UUUGUCCCACAUUAAUGUGUCUACCAUGACUGUACAAAUAUAGCAAAGCCUGUAAGGGAGCAGUGUUUGGAAAUUCAAGGUGAACUUUGACAAUGAAGUGGACAUGGGCAUAGCUGGGAAGCUGGACUGUGAAAAGAUAGGUUGUCUGUGGGACAAGCUGGCAAAAACAGGAGAUAGAAAACUGGUUGCAGAAACUCAGUGCUGGUAACUGUGGAAAGAAAGGGAGGAUUAUUAUUGUGUUUUCUCCCAAUAAGCCCAUGAAGUCUGUUAAAUCUAGUUUAAAUGAGAGAAGUAUUACCAGGGAGCACACUGGAGUUUGCUCUUUUUAGUCUGUCUUAGAGAAAUAAUUACAAUUGCAUUUUAAUACCUGAAAAAUAUUUCAGGGCAGAAAGGGUGAUGCUUGCACUGAAAGGAUAAUAGAUGUGAAGUUUCUCUGGAAAAAAAAAUGAAGAAAUACUAUGGAAGUUGGUAUUAUAAUUGUUCUUCCUUGCAUCUCUGUGCAUGAUUUUUUAACGUAAUCAGGACUUACUUUUCUUGACUCUUUGACCUUCCUCAACAUUGCUGCAAUUUACUGGAAGGUCAGAGGUCAUAGAAAUUCAUUUGUUGCAGAAAGUAAAGAAAGACUUUAUUUCUUCAUUUCACUUACAUAAAAUGGAAACGCUUGAUAAAUACAAAUAAUUCUAGGAGAAAGAGUUGGCAGAGUGAUAAAAACCAGUUUUCCUCUUGCCCAUUAAAGGUGCCUUUUGGAUACCACAGAGGAACCCACUCACAAACUGUCAGCUCCAGCACCUCUCACCUACAGCAGGAGCGGCCAGCCCAGAUGGCUCCAGAAAUUCAUAUCAACUUUGUGGUAACCACCUUUCUGAUUCAUGAUUUCCAGUUUAAGCCACAGGCAGUCUAUUCAUCCUAUUUAUAACAUUGGAGGUAAUUACAGGUACCAUUUGGUUCUUAAUUAAAAGCAUCUUCUUUGCCUGACUUAGUCCUUCAUGUAAACUUGGAGGUGUAUGCUUCCUACUGAGCUCCUGCUCUCAACAUGGCCAAUGGAGAAAGAGAAGAAGAUAAAUAUAGGGAAUCUGUGGAAAGUAUAUAGAUCCCACUUCCUUUUUGUCCCAUAUGGGGAAAAAGUAAUAUCUAUGUUUUCUUUUUGAGAAAAUGAAAAAGUUAUAUCUUCUCAUCAGUGUGAUUGCAGAGUUUUGAAGAUUUUAGCUAGAUUAAGGACAUCUUCACUUUUCUCUUGUGUUGACAUUAUAGCUGCUCUUGGAUCAGUUACCCAGAAUCUUCUAAUUGAGCAGGUCCAUUACAAGGCUUGAGAGAGAGCAUUACAUAUUACCCUUAACUUUCAUUUAUGUAAUCAUAUGUAAUCACACAAGAGCUCCUCAAGAGGCACAGGGAGGCCAUUUUUCUUUGCUGGGACAAUCCCUGCUCAGUUUGCUUAAGAUCUUACAUUUCAUUCUCUUCACUGUUAUUAUACAAAUUCUUGUGAAAGUUACCAUUUAUUUUUAGGGAUCAUUUGGAAGUGUUUCUGGAUGACAAUUUUAAGUGCAGCAUUU